ACCUGCACAUGCGAAAGGGCCAUCUGGAAAGCAGAUCACUACAUGAGAAAAAAAAAAAAAAAGAAAAAAAAGAAAAAGUAGAUGGACUAUGGGGCACUCAUAAUAGGACAGAGCAUAAGAGGAUGCGCUGCAACAGUCUUCCAUUGGUGACAGCAUUUGAGGCAUUCUUAAACUUGAAAGGAGUUCCCUAAUAAGGAAGAUCAGCCUGGUUGGACUAAAAGACUAAUCGUCUGUAGAAUCUUCUUUCACUGUUUCCACAGAAGAUCAAAACAAACAGCUUCUAAUACAGGCCAUCUUGCUAAAGCCAGUCAGAUGGGAAGGAAAAAAGGACAUCCUUUGCACACAGCAGCCUUUCAUCUCCUGGUAUGAGAGAAAAGGAGGAGACAGCAGUAAAGAGCCUGUUCCCAGGUCAGUGGCUACAAAUAGAGUUGAAAAAACUAUGCAGAUUGUACAUGAGAAAUAUACGUCUGCUGCAUUGAAGACAUAUGAUUUCUAGCAGGUAUCAUACUUAUUAUCUCCAUCCACAUAUCUACCACUAUCCAGUAUCCUGCCCAGUAUCCUGUCACCACCUAGACUUGACAGCUCCUGAACACAGAACUCAAAGAACACAAAUGCAUUCUAGGUCAUCUGCAUUUAAAUAAUAAAAAAAAAACAAACAUUUUAUAUCUCCAGUGAUGAGUUGGAUUGGAUGUGGAAGUUCACUAAAUGACGUGAAUGCUGGAUUAAUUUUCCGUAUAUUUUUUAGGUAAGGUUGCAUAAAAGAGGGUUAAGGUAGCACAAUGGCUAUUGCUUAUGGGAUUGUACAACGCACACUAGUGCUGUUCACAAAUCACAAUACUCCUUUUAUUGGAUUUUAGAUAUGAUUUUUUAGAUACUUAAGGAAUCUACUUUGAACUUGAUGAUUCUUGUGGGUUGCUUCCAACUUGGGCUACUCUAUGAUUCAACAAUCCUAUAAUGCCAUGUGAGCACAGAACAAUAUGUAUUAAACCACUAGAUCAGGCUGCCCAGGGCCCAAUCUAAUGUGGCCUUGAAUGUCGUCAGUGAUGAAGCAUCUACAGCUUCUCUGGGCUACGUGUUCCAGUGCAUCACCAUCCUUUGAGGAAAACACUUCUUCCUAACAUCUAACCUAAAUCUUCCCUCUUUUAGUUUAAUGUCAUUUCUCCUUGUCCUAUCACUGCCAGAACAUGUAAAAGGUCAGUCUCCUUCCUGUUUAUAAACUCACCUGAAGUACUGAAAAGGCCACAAUCAGGUCUCUCUGAAGUCUUCUUUUUUUCCAAGCUAAACAAGUCCAGCUUCCUCAACAUUUCUUAAUAAGAGAGAUGCCCCAGAAAUUUGAACAUCUUUGUGGCCCUCCUCUGGACCUGCUCUAACAGCUCCAUCAUUUGCACACCGGGUGCCCCAGACUUGGGCACAGUAUUUCACAUGGGGACUCAUGAAGGCAGAGUAGAGGGAUACAAUCACCUCCCUUGCCCUCUUGGCCACCAGUCUUUUGAUGUAGUCCAAGACACAGAUGACCUUCAAGACUGCAAGCGCACACUGCUGGCUCAUGUCCAGCUUUAGUUCAUUGGGACCUUCAAGUCCGCUUCUGCAGGGCUGCUCUCAGUGAGUUCUUCUCUCACUUUGUACACAUAUCUGGGAUUGUCCUAAUUGGACAACACAAUUGGAAUUGUCAAAACUUAUUAGGUUCACAUGCUCCCACUUUUUAAACCUGUCCAAGUCCCUCUGGGUGGCAUCCCUGCCUUCUCUUGUGUCAACUGUACCACUCAUCAUGUCAUCAGCAAACCUACUCAGGGUAGACUCAUUCCCAUUCUCCAGGUUGUUGAUGUUGAAGAGUACCAGUUCCAAGACUCCAUCAGGACACAAAAUCAUUGACCAUAACCCUCUGGCUGCAACCAUCCAACCAAUUUCCUUAUCCUCUGAAUUGUCCGUAUCUCUCCAAUUUAGAGAUAUGGAUGUGGCAUGAGAACAUGUCAAAGACCAUACAGAAGUUAAGGUAGGUGACAUCAGUUGCCCUCCCUUUGUCUACUGAUGCUGUCACUCCAUCAGAGGAAGCCAUUAGAUUGAUCAGACAUGAUCUGCCCUUGGUGAAGCUGUGCUGGCUGUCUCAGACCAUCUCCUCAUCUCACAUGUGCCUUAAAAUAGCUUCCAGAAGAUUCUGCUCCAUGAUCUUCAUAGGCACAGAUCUGAGGCUCACCAGCCUGUAGUUCCCUGGGUCUUCCUUUUUCCCACUCCAGAAAAUGGGAGUGAUGCUUGCCUUCUUCGACUCACCAGUGACUUCUUCUGCCACUGAGAAGUGUCACUUUAUUUCAUUUGUAAGAAAAGACUUAGUAAAUCUUUUCAAAUUGGUCAGAACACCACUCUCUACUGACACUUUGCACCAAAGCAUCUACACAAUUCUUGAUGUCACAAAAUGGUCAACAGUAUUUCAAGAGCCAUAUAACUGGUUGUAAGAGAUUAUUCUUUUACAUCAUUGUCUCAGAGCUUGUUGGGGACACAGAUGGACAAGUCCAAGCAAGUCCUGGGCAAGGGUUGUGAAAUCCUUUGAAGUACACAGAUGGACAAGGCCAGGGGCAACGAGAGAGAUAUAAACCACAGAUUAGUGGCCAGGAAGCAGUCUUUUGUGUGGACUUAUCUCAUGGAAGAUGGCCAUCUCAGGAGGUGCUGCACAUGACUCUUACCCAAGUGUCCAGGAAUGCCACGAUGGCAGAAGAAGGAUAAAAAGGGGACCUACAGCCAUGAGGUGUAUGGGCAACAGAUUCCUCAUGAAGAAGAGGAGGUUUCUGACAUGAGAAGCCUCACGACCUGCCUCUCUCCCUCCUGGACCUGCUCUGUGCUCCACCAUGAUGCUAAAGAAGAACAAAGGUGUCUGCCAUCAGAUUCCUCACUACAGAAUUCCUGCAUGCUGACAGACUCUCCUGGGCCUGCUACCUGAGUCCUGCUGCUUCCUCCCGGAUUGGCUCUGCUACCUGCUACCUGCUUGCUGCUCAAGGCCAGCCACGCUGCUGCUCUCCCCCUGCUGCUUCUGCCUCGGACCUUCGAAGCGUCGUGCAGCGGGACUGCUGCUGGAUCCUGGUGGUGACUAUCCCCGCUUUAUGUGACUCUUGCUUCUUUCCUAUCUUUUCUAUCACCCUCCUUCCCUUCCCCAUCACCCUAAUUCGUAAUAGUCACCGUCCUUCCCUUCCCCAUCUCCCUGAUUAGGAUUUAUGAUAAACUGGUCGGACCAACAUUUGAAGCAUUGUUUCUUAAUCUCAUGCCAGGUAUAAAUAUAUUAAAAACAACCUCCUCUCCCUCCUAUAAAUUGAAGCAAGACACUGGUCAAACUGCUGAUUGAGUAUAAUGAAUUAAUCACACAUUCAAGUAACAAAUGCAUGUGAGAAAUAGUGUCUGUAGUAAGUAUAAAUACAAAACACAGCUACUCUCCCUUACUACACAAGCCAUCAACCUCACAAAACCUUGUAGGAAAGGAACCAAUCAUCAGGAAACACUAAUUCCCAAAAAGCAUCACAACAUUAGUUUGUAAAUGUCUGUAACAGUGGUAACCUACACCUGUUCUAGGCAAGUGUAAAGUUUAUACCUGGAAAUGUUCAGCAAAAACUCAUUUAGGCAUUCAGGUCUUACUGCUACAUUGCUAAUAUACUGUCCCAAAGGAGCACCAAUAAUGUACAUACAUGAACACUCUUUAGUUGAACUGUGAAUAUUCCUUCUUCCCUUGAUGCACAAUUACCUAUCUUAGAAUUUGUAUAUGGAAAUCUUAUUCAGAGUGAUUUAUAUCAACAUAUCCAGAGUAUUUCCUAGCAUUUGUCCAUGAGGAAAUGGUAAGAGGGUCACUAUGAAGAGGGGUUCAUAUGCACCAUGAUAGAGUAAGUGUACUGAGAAGGCCAAUGAAAAUAAUUAGAGAGCUGGCAAAGUUGACAUGUAAAAAAAAACCUUCUGAAAAUUAAAAAUGCACAAUUUCACUGUAGAGGAUUAAGAGGAAACACAGUCACUGAGAUAGAAAUAAAAUUUUAAUAUCUAUAUGACUAAUAUUCUGAAUUAUUAAAGAAUUGUUUAGAAAAGACAAAAUACAUAGAGUUAUAAAAAAGUAAGUACUGAAAAAAUCUGCAGCUAAGCAUUGUGAAAAACUACUUGGCAGUGAGAUCUGCAAAGCAGUACAAAAGCAUCUCAAGGGAAGUAGUGGAAUCUCCAUCAUUUGGGAUAUUUAAAACCAAUCUAGACAAAUUGUUGGAAAUGUUCUAUAGGGAAUAGUCCUGAAUUGGUAAAGAGACAGACUGGAUGACCUAACAGGUCUUUUUCCAUCUGUAAUGUCUAUUACUCUGUAAUUGUCUCAUGUCCUCAAUCCACACAUUAAGCAAUGCUCAUAUAGCUCCAGCGCCAAAUGGUUUAGUUCCAAAGCUCCCACUCCUUCUUUACUCAUCAUUUAAGACUAACAGAGCAAAUCCUACUUAGGAAUGAAAAUGUUCAUAGCAAGAUCAACAAGGAAAAAUGAUUCUGAGGCCCAAGUCAUUUCUCUUACACAAGAAGUUCUAGGUCUGCUAAUAUGCACCACUAGAAUACAAACAGCUUCAAAAUGGUACACAGCUCACUUCAGUGCUUCUGCUUCUUAGUACAACUUGCAUUUUUUAAGUUAGUGUUUAGUAAAUCCUGUUGCAAACUAGCUUUCUGUCUUGAUUUUAUGACUGUUGGUUAUCGGUAUUCCACAUCAUAACAUCAUGCAGUGCACUGGGAGUUUAACUGAUAAUGCUCAAGUUCCUGGUACCUGUCCGGAAGAGAAGAACUACAUUCCCCAGGGAGUUUUGCUGUCAGAGAGGAGCUAUGGCAAGGUCACCUGAUGUGCUCUUCUUUGUUGGCUCUCCUCCUGUCUCCCUGCUGCUCAACUGGACUGCGCAUCUCACCUCAGCAUUCUGGUGAGGCCUAUCCACCUUUCAGACAUUCUCUUUCUCAUUAUAUUUGAUUUAUUAGCUGCAAUUCUAAUUACAUUGCAUUAUAGUGUGUUAUCUUGCGUUCCGAUACUAUAUUUAGUAAAUUAGUUUGUUUCUCCUCAGAUUGUUGCUGCUGUUUUUAAUUACUUUGGGGUCCCCUGUUUCCCUUUUUCCAGAGGCGUGGAUUUUCCAAAAUCCCUCCGCCCCACUGGUCAUGGAACCGGGCCAAACCAGCCUGUAAACCAUUGACACUUUCAAACAUUUCUGUCAGGCACACAAAGCUUUGCAGUUUUGAGAAAAUGAGAAGAGUUGACAGACCACAGCCACACCUUGAUGAACACCUGUGAGAUUCUUCAGUUUGACUUUUUUUCACCAAGAGUAGUACUUUAAAUGACUGUGUUUGGCUCUGUUAUCUCAUGAUUGUUCUAUACUGUUAUUCAUCAAAAGGAACAUACAUUAAGAACAACUAAAAGAAAGAAAGUUACUUGAUUACUUGUUUUGAGCACAUUUUAGUUAAGAAACCUAUGGAUC